UGAAAAUGAUGAAAAUAUCAUACCGUAUUCCAUAAGUAUAUGUAAUUAUUAAUUAUCAGUUAAAAUAUAAAUCAAGACAUUUAUAGAUACUUUGUACUGUGUUUUAGUGUGUGUGUGUGUGUGUGUGUUUGCAGGUGUUACUGAGAACAUAUGCAUGCAUUCUAGGCAAGUGCUCUAUCCCUGAUCUACACGCCCCCAGCACUUUUAA
rnacentral:sRNA from 1 species